GUGAGUAUAGGUUAAUGGUAGACUUAUCGACUUCCAAUCGAGGUGUGUCAGUUCAAUUCUGACUAUUCAUA
rfam:Triticum urartu cultivar G1812 contig150834, whole genome shotgun sequence.